rnacentral:lncRNA from 1 species
GCAAUAGCCAUUCUAACAAGAGUGAGGUCACAGAAUUUUCCACACUCCUUGACAGAGGUGCUUAACCCUUAUCCAUCAGCAUUCUCAGACAGCACCUCCGGUUAGGGACAGUAUCUGACCGUCCGACAUCCCUGCAGCCCCCAUGUGUCACACAGACUCAGCCUCAGGUAGAUGGUUUCCGUAGAUGGUGGCUUUCUUUGGACCCUUGACAUCAACCAGUUACUAUUUGCAGGGCCACACAUAACAAAUAGAAGCAGAGCAAGCCCUGGAACUCCUGCCUGACAGUGACACGACGACAGAAACAUCUUACCAGUCAGAGGACCAUGAGAAAUAGAUUCAAGGAGCAUUCCACGUGCAAGUGAGUCUUGGCCCCAUCUGCCUUUGGAUUUUAGCCGUGAACUGGAAGGUAUUGGAAAGAAGACCCUCAGAAAUAGCUUAAUCAAAAUCCCUGCGUCUGAACCAAGUGCCUUAUUUCUCUGUGGGCCUCAAGCUUCGCUGACAUCUGUGGAGCACACUGUCCUAACAGGAGUGCUGUCUGAUUUCCCAACGCUCUGCAAAACAAACAGCCUGGAAGGGUGGCUGGUGGAAGGUGGUUUUUAGAGAGAGACUUGUAGAUAACAGGAAAGUGAAGGCUGUAAGGAAGGUUGUAAUUAAACAGCACAUGGAAACACAAUCACAUUAUUGUCCCAUUCCAUAGGGAUAAUGAUGACCACUUCAGUGGGAAAAGGAGAGGUUUUAAGUCAUUAGGGACUAUGGGCCACCUUUUAGGAAGAUUUAUUUUCAAAGGUUAAAAUAGUGUUUUGGCAAUUCAAGUUUCAUUUUCAGAAAAUGUAAUUGAUGGGAACCUCAGUGACUCUGGAUGAAUAAGAUGCUGUUGAGUGGCUCUGACUUGGGCCAGCCGUGCUUCUCACAGGACCUUGGAGACCAAGGUCACUGUGAUCUCAGGUUCAGGGGGCAAGUCCUCUCCACACAGCCCUAGUUGGCCUCACAGCUGAAAAUGUCUCCCUUACUGUUGGACUCCUUUGUUCACCCACAUGAGUUUGUGAAUAAAUCCUUUCCAGUCUGAAA